GAAAUAUGCACAGUCGGGUACAAUACAGGAUAGAGAGGAGCAGUCAAAAUCAGCAACUAACACAAGCAAAAAAGGACCAUGUUCUGUAAGCCAAGAGGUGGAUGACUCUGUUAUCUGUAAUGAUGAAGAUGUUUCUAUGGAAACACAAGAGAAUAUUCUGUCCGAUGAAAGCCACACUGCCAAGAGGACGACUACCUGCAGUCCAGCAUCUUCUCAGAUUACCG
rnacentral:misc_RNA from 1 species